GAUGAACGCUGACAGAAUGCUUAACACAUGCAAGUCGAUGGGGAAGUGGUGCUUGCACCAUGGUAACCAUGGCGGACGGGUGAGUAACGCGUAAGGAACUUACCUGCGGGACCGGGAGAACAGCAGGAAACUGCUGACAAGACCGGAUAAGGACAUUAAGCUGCAUCGCUGAGUGAUGAACGGAGACGCCUGUGGAGAGCCUUGCGUCCUAUUAGCUAGUUGGGGGGGUAACGGCCCAACAAGGCGAAGAUAGGUAGCCGGCCUGAGAGGGUGGACGGCCCAGAGGGCACUGAGAUGCAGCCCUUGCUACUACGGGAGGCAGCAGUGGGGCAUAUUGGACCAUGGGGGCGACCCUGAUCCAGCACUUCUGUGUGCACGACGACGGUUUUCGGAUUGUAAAGUGCUUUCAGCAGGGAAGAAGGAAGUGACGGUACCUGCAGAAGAAGCGACGGCUAACUACGUG
rnacentral:rRNA from 1 species